rnacentral:tRNA from 1 species
GGGGAUAUAGCUCAGUUGAUAGAGCACUUGCCUCCCAUGCACAAAGCCCUGGGUUCAAUACCCAGCACCA